CUGUCUUUCUCUGUCCCAAAAAUAAAUAAACGUUGAAAAAAAAAAAAAAAAGGAAUAAAACAUACAAGCAGAUGUACUUACAGCAAAAAUAGUGUCUUUUCUAAUGAAAUCUGUUCAUAAGGUAGAUCAAUCUGUUAUAAAUG